GCCUGAGUGGCUCAGUGGGUUGAGCAUCCGACUUCAGCUCAGGUCAUAGUUUCAUGGCUUGGGGGUUCAAGCCCCGUGUCGGGCU
rnacentral:tRNA from 1 species